CUGCAGCCCGAGUGGUGAUCGAUUUUAUUGAGCCUAAAGCGUCCGUAGCCGGACUAGUAAACCCUUGGGUAAAUUGGGCAGCUUAACUGUCCAAAUUCCGAGGGGACUGCUAGUCUUGGGACCGGGAGAGGUCAGAGGUACUCCAGGGGUAGGGGCUAAAUCCUGUAAUCCUUGGGGGACCACCAGUGGCGAAGGCGUCUGACUAGAACGGAUCCGACGGUAAGGGACGAAACCCUGGGGCGCGAACCGGAUUAGAUACCCGAGUAGUCC
rnacentral:rRNA from 1 species